rnacentral:tRNA from 5 species
GGAGGAUUCGCCUAGUGGCCUAGGGCGCACGCUUGGAAAGCGUGUUGGGAGCAAUCCCUCAGGGGUUCAAAUCCCCUAUCCUCCGCCA